UCUCUCUCUCUCUCUCUCUCAAACACACACACACACGUAAUGCUUAAGUGACCUUUGAUGAAUAUCCCAAUCUCAGACCUGUACAAUGUUACUGAUUUGUUUUGUGUCCUUCUAGAGCAUUUUCUAUCCAGGAAAUUAUUUUUAUUCUUCUACUUUCUGCCUUUUCCAAUACCAGUAUAACUGUUUUUCUCUUCCUCCCCUCAAACUCCAUCAUGGGGAAGCAACCAAAAUCUCAGAGGUUAAAAUCUCCCUCGGAGGUACAGCCGUCUGCCUCUCCCUCUGUCACCUUCACCUUCAGUCCUAUGAGUGCCUAAGAGCAAAAGCUCUAGAGUCAGACUUCUGGGUGGGAAUCUUGGCUCCAUUACUUACUACUUGAGUGAACUUGAGCCAGUUUAUUCAUUCACUAUUCAUUCUGCAAAUGUUUAUUGAGUGCCCAUUAUUAUGUGUUAGAGAUAAAAUGGUGUAUAAGACAAUAUUUCUACCCUUAUGGAGCUUACAUUCUAGUGGGAGACAUAGAAUAUAAACGUAUGAAUGAAUAUAGCAUAAUUCUAGGAAGCAAUAAAUGUCAUGAAGAACAAUGAAACAGAGUCAAGGGACAGACUUUUUUCAAUCUGGACGAUCGAACAAAACCUCCCUGAGGAUGUGACAUUAGAGCAGAGAGCUGAAUAGACUUAGAGAACAAGCCAUGAAGAGAUGUGAAGAGAAUGGCAACUACAAAGUCCCUGCGGCAGAAACGAGGAACAGCAGUAAGGCAGGUGAGCUGAAAUGGAGUAUAGGAGAAAGAAUGGUGGCACAUGAAGAAUUCCGAUUUCCAGCCCCCCCAUCUUCCUAGCCCUGUAGUCCCCCAACACCAAAAUUUCUCCAGCUCCAUUGGACCCUACAGUGGUCCACUCCUUCCCUACCUUUUUAUUGCCCCCCUCCUCCCUCAUAUCCUCACUCUCAUCCUUAAUCAGCUUAGAUCCAAAGUCCAGUGUAUUAACUACUCCCUUGCAUAAACUCAGCUCCCAGCGACAUGUCCUCUUUCUUCCCUCAAAUCUGUAACACUUCCUCCCCGAUCUUCGUCUUCACUGACAGACUUCCUAUCUCACUGAGAACAACAGCAAAGCAGUCAAGGACAUGCACAAGCUCCCAGCUGCCCCUGUAUCCCAUCCUCACCCUCUCCGUCCUGUGGGUGCCGGGGCUGAAGGCCUUCUGGCAGGUAACUCCCUACAGCCCCAGCAGAAAAAAGAGGACACAAGUAAAUGCUGCCUUCAAAUGGGGACAUCAGGAGGAGGAGGAGGAUGAGAACUGACAACCGGCCUUGGAGAAAGAGUCAUGGUUCGUCAGAAACAAGCCAACAGGAGGGGCAGGUUCGAUUCUACGGGAGAUGUCAUGGCUUAGUAUUCCUUAAGUUAAUUCUGGAUUGUUCCUGCGCCUUUGGACUGAAUGUGACACUCGCUUCAUCUGUACAGCUGGUGUGUGUGUGUCCUGAUGCGUGUGUGCCAGGUUUAAGUUUAAAUGUCUGCAGUCUCAGGCCUUCGGUUCACCCAAAAGAAACUCCGGCCUAGGAGCAAUCUGGCGAACUGGUGUUGCCUUGGAGACCCAGACUACCUGGGAGUAAUCCCGGUGGCCCCCAUCCAAGGUCGGUGUGGGAGGGGCUACGAGGAAAGGUCAGGACUCCACAGAGAAGGAAUGGAGGUUAAGAACAGGGGUCAGGAAGAUAUGUAUGCCUUUUGAUAUUAAGUAAAUAAGUGCAUUUAAAAUACACAACCAGGAUCUCUGACACUUACAGUAACAAGAGCCUGGCUUAUCUUCCCCACUCAAUU